UAGUUCAGUGUUUUUUUUUCUCUUGAGGAGAAAAGGAAAAGGAGUUGUAGAGAAAGAAAAAAAUAUAACAAGUGGAAAGAAAUAUCCGAAAACCGGAUUCAAUAACAGAAGCAGCAUCCACGAGAGGAGAGCAGGGCAGAGGAUCAGCAGCAACAGAAGAAGAAGCGAAAAGAAAAAAAAGCAAGCGCACGCAUAAGGCAGCGACGCGACGCCGCAGCCAGCAGAGUGCCCUGAUCCUCUCAGCGCCGGAGCUGGCAGCACACUCUCUCUCUCUCUCGCGCGUUUUGUUAGACGCAGAACAGCGGAGCAGAACAGCAGCAUCAGCAGAAGAUCGGUGGGAGAACGAGCGAAUCGGGCCCAUUAUCGAGGAACAGCAACCGGAGUCGUGUUGUGCACAAACUAAUUGCAAAAUCUUUCUUUGUGGCUUCGAUCUAUGUGUGGAUUAUCCAUAGGCUAUCCAGCCUCUUGAGCCGACCACCCCGGGUCUUGGAACCGAUUCGCAGCGUCCUUAUAUCUUUAUAGGCAUCUCAGGAGCAGGCUUUUCGAUUCCCAUCGCUAGGAAUCGUUGCAGCAAUCAUCACUCUCGCAAAGAGUGGGGCACAGCCGUAAUUAUCACACCCCCCGCACUCCCCUUCUGCUCGUGGAAAAUCUCUGCUGGAAAAUCUGUGUAAAAUCUGAUAUCAACAUGGAAACUGUCGGCCCGUCUCCGGUGUCAACCCUCGUCGCAUUGCCUGUUUCUGCUCCCUGCCGCAUGCCGCAUGCCGCAUGCCACAUGCCAGUGGCAGUGCCUCUCUGAUGGCUUUGUUCUUUGUGUUGUCAAACUGUCAGGAUGGCGAUUUGCUGCCGCACAAUUGAUACAUUGAUAAAUGAUGUUCCCAGGAGGCAAUCUCGCAGGAUCUCCACCUCUUCUCCUCCUUCUACUGCUCGAUUCAUGCCACUUGGACGCUAAUUUUGUGUGACAAACAAUACUCUCUCUCUCGCGCUCUCCCUCGCUGGGAACGUGAGACGAUUUUCGAUUGUGGGGCACGGACUUAAUGGGGUUUUGUCAUGCAAGGAGCACAUUUGCUGCCGCAUUCUUGUGGCAAUUAA
rnacentral:sRNA from 1 species